UACGGAGGAUGCGAGCGUUAUCCGGAUUUAUUGGGUUUAAAGGGUGCGUAGGCGGACGCUUAAGUCAGCGGUAAAAUUGCGGGGCUCAACCUCAUCGAGCCGUUGAAACUGGGUGCCUUGAGUGGGCGAGAAGUACGCGGAAUGCGUGGUGUAGCGGUGAAAUGCAUAGAUAUCACGCAGAACUUCGAUUGCGAAGGCAGCGUACCGGCGCCCAACUGACGCUGAAGCACGAAGGCGUGGGUAUCGAACAGG
rnacentral:rRNA from 1 species